UAAAGGGUUGUCUUCUUUAGGGUUGUCUUCUNUAGUUCGUCUUCUUUAGGGGAACCAAAGGGGAAGAACCAAAGUCUUCCCCUAAAGGGGAACCCCUUCUUCCCCGUUAGUUCCCCCUAAAGGGGAAGAAGAACACUAAAGUUCCCCUUUAGGGGAUGAUGAACUAAAGGGGAUGGGGAACAAAGAAGACAGACAACCCUUUGGUAACCCAAAGGGGACAACCCAAAGGGGUUCCCCUUUAGGGGAAGACAACCCUUUGGUUCAUCCCCUAAAGUUCUUCCCCUUUAGGGGAAGAAGAACUAAAGGGGAGCCCAAAGAAGAUGACAACCCUUUGGUUCCCCUUUAGGGGACGAUGACGAAGUAUGAAAAGCUAGGUGAACUGCACCAGUACGUUGUGGCCUACGGCCGUUAGGUGAUCGUAGACGUUUUUUAUCCCCCUUCGGGGAAAGAGCUUCGCCCGUUGUUGUGAGGAACGUGUGCGCUCGGUUAAGUUAGGUGCACUGCACCGACAAGCGAAAGGUAGAUUUAGUUAUUUUAUUCUGGGCCUCCGUCCCUUCGUUAGAUUUGUUACACAGUAACAUAAAAAUUUCCAAACUAAGCACAACACAAGCGCGUCCCCCGAAGGGGAACCUUUGGUUAUCCCCCUUCGGAAACCCUUUGGUUUAUCCCCUAAAGUUCAUCCCCGAAGGGGAACCCCUUCGUCUUCUUCCCCGAAGGGGACCCCUACGUCAUCCCCGAAGGGUAACCCCUUUGGUUCUUCCCCAUAGUCUCCCCAAAGUCUCCCCGAAGAAGAGACUUUGGGGGAUCCCCUUUAGAGUCGACNNNNNNNNNNNNNNNNNNNNNNNNNNNNNNNNNNNNNNNNNNNNNNNNNNUCUUCCCCUAAAGGGGAACCCCUUCGUCAUCGUCCCCUAAAGGGGAAGAGCACUAAAGUGUUCUUCUUCUUCCCCUAAAGGGGAACUAAAGUUCCCCUAAAGGGGAUGAACUAAAGGGGAACCCCUUUAGUUCCCCUUUAGGGGAUGAACUAAAGGGGAAGACGACAUCCCCGAAGGGGGAACAUCAUCGUCUUCCCCUUUGGGGAACCCCUUCGUUUUCACUAAAGGGUUGUCUUCUUUAGGGUUGUCUUCUUUAGUUCGUCUUCUUUAGGGGAACCAAAGGGGAAGAACCAAAGUCUUCCCCUAAAGGGGAACCCCUUCUUCCCCGUUAGUUCCCCCUAAAGGGGAAGAAGAACACUAAAGUUCCCCUUUAGGGGAUGAUGAACUAAAGGGGAUGGGGAACAAAGAAGACAGACAACCCUUUGGUAACCCAAAGGGGACAACCCAAAGGGGUUCCCCUUUAGGGGAAGACAACCCUUUGGUUCAUCCCCUAAAGUUCUUCCCCUUUAGGGGAAGAAGAACUAAAGGGGAGCCCAAAGAAGAUGACAACCCUUUGGUUCCCCUUUAGGGGACGAUGACGAAGUAUGAAAAGCUAGGUGAACUGCACCAGUACGUUGUGGCCUACGGCCGUUAGGUGAUCGUAGACGUUUUUUAUCCCCCUUCGGGGAAAGAGCUUCGCCCGUUGUUGUGAGGAACNGUGUGCGCUCGGUUAAGUUAGGUGCACUGCACCGACAAGCGAAAGGUAGAUUUAGUUAUUUUAUUCUGGGCCU
rnacentral:lncRNA from 1 species